UACGUAGGGUGCAAGCGUUGUCCGGAAUUAUUGGGCGUAAAGGGCUCGUAGGCGGUCUGUUGCGUCGGGAGUGAAAACUUACAGCUUAACUGUGAGCGUGCUUUCGAUACGGGCAGACUUGAGGCAUUCAGGGGAGAACGGAAUUCCUGGUGUAGCGGUGAAAUGCGCAGAUAUCAGGAGGAACACCGGUGACGAAGGCGGUUCUCUGGGAAUGUCCUGACGCUGAGGAGCGAAAGUGUGGGGAGCGAACAGG
rnacentral:rRNA from 1 species